GUAAUGAAUGACGAAGAGACAGACAUCAGGACUAAGGAAAGAGACGGAUGAGAAAUCAGCAUGUCCAGCAGAGAAAGCCGAGCUGUUGGUCGUGGUUCUGCCCGCAGGAGAAGCAGCAGCAAAAAAAGAGACCCACCCAACAUGAUUGAAGCGACUCCUCUGAGGAUCGUUCUUCUGGGUUCG